GUGCUGGCUUCAGCAACACAUAUACUAAAACUGGAAUGAUACAGAGAAGAUUAGCAUGGCCCCUGCGCAAGGAUGACCUGCAAAUUCGUGAAGCGUUUCAUAUUUAU
ensembl:snRNA U6 U6 spliceosomal RNA